AAUUUUGGAAUAGUAUGACUUCUAAUCAUAUAAUGUUAUAUAUUAACACAAAAUUU
rnacentral:tRNA from 1 species